rnacentral:rRNA from 1 species
UUUGGUUAAGUUAGAAAGGGCGCACGGUGGAUGCCUUGACACUAGGAGUCGAUGAAGGACGGGACUAACGCCGAUAUGCUUCGGGGAGCUGUAAGUAAGCUUUGAUCCGAAGAUUUCCGAAUGGGGAAACCCACCAUACGUAAUGGUAUGGUAUCCUUAUCUGAAUACAUAGGGUAAGGAAGACAGACCCAGG